CUGUCUUUCUUUAGAUCCUGCUGAAAGACACGAGACAUACAUAUAAAAUAAAAGAAAAAGAUCUGGAUCGGGCUCUCGAAAGUUCAUGUGACCGGAUCGAAGGUCCCUUCCAAGUACUCGACGAUUGCUAUGUUGGUAAAUGGCUUGAAGGGCCAAUGCACCUUUAGAGGUUUGGGGAUGACCUGGAGGUCCUGGACCUAUUAGUUGCCCCUCC
rnacentral:lncRNA from 1 species